AUUGAACGCUGGCGGCAUGCUUUACACAUGCAAGUCGAACGGUAACAGGUUAAGCUGACGAGUGGCGAACGGGUGAGUAAUGCAUCGGAACGUGCCCGAUCGUGGGGGAUAACGCAGCGAAAGCUGCGCUAAUACCGCAUACGAUCUGAGGAUGAAAGCGGGGGACCGUAAGGCCUCGCGCGAUCGGAGCGGCCGAUGUCAGAUUAGGUAGUUGGUGGGGUAAAGGCUCACCAAGCCAACGAUCUGUAGCUGGUCUGAGAGGACGACCAGCCACACUGGGACGGAGACACGGCCCCGACUCCUACGGGAGGCAGCAGUGGGGAAUUUUGGACAAUGGGCGAAAGCCUGAUCCAGCAAUGCCGCGUGCAGGAAGAAGGCCUUCGGGUUGUAAACUGCUUUUGUACGGAGCGAAAAGGCUCUCUCUAAUACAGGGGGCUCAUGACGGUACCGUAAGAAUAAGCACCGGCUAACUACGUGCCAGCCGCCGCCGUAAGAC
rnacentral:rRNA from 1 species